AACGGCCAUACCACGCUGAAUAUACCGGUUCUCAUUAGAUCACCGAAGUCAAGCAUCAUUGAGCGCGGCCGUAUUUGGGUGGGUGACCACGUGGGAACACCGCGUGCCGUU
rnacentral:rRNA from 1 species